rnacentral:rRNA from 1 species
AGUGAACGCUGGCGGUAGGCCUAACACAUGCAAGUCGAACGGCAGCACAGUAAGAGCUUGCUCUUACGGGUGGCGAGUGGCGGACUGGUGAGGAAUACAUCGGAAUCUACUUUUUCGUGGGGGAUAACGUAGGGAAACUUACGCUAAUACCGCAUACGACCUACGGGUGAAAGCAGGGGAUCUUCGGACCUUGCGCGAUUGAAUGAGCCGAUGUCGGAUUAGCUAGUUGGCGGGGUAAAGGCCCACCAAGGCGACGAUCCGUAGCUGGUCUGAGAGGAUGAUCAGCCACACUGGAACUGAGACACGGUCCAGACUCCUACGGGAGGCAGCAGUGGGGAAUAUUGGACAAUGGGCGCAAGCCUGAUCCAGCAAUACCGCGUGAGUGAAGAAGGCCUUCGGGUUGUAAAGCCCUUUUGUUGGGAAAGAAAAGCAGCAGGUUAAUACCCCGCUGUUCUGACGGUACCCAAAGAAUAAGCACCGGCUAACUUCGUG